rnacentral:rRNA from 1 species
UCAGGCCUAACACAUGCAAGUCGAGCGAGGACUUCGGUCCUAGCGGCGGACGGGUGAGUAACGCGUGGGAACGUGCCCUUUGCUUCGGAAUAGCCCUGGGAAACUGGGAGUAAUACCGGAUGAGCCCUACGGGGGAAAGAUUUAUCGGCGAAGGAUCGGCCCGCGUUGGAUUAGGUAGUUGGUGGGGUAAUGGCCUACCAAGCCGACGAUCCAUAGCUGGUUUGAGAGGAUGAUCAGCCACACUGGGACUGAGACACGGCCCAGACUCCUACGGGAGGCAGCAGUGGGGAAUCUUAGACAAUGGGGGAAACCCUGAUCUAGCCAUGCCGCGUGAGCGAUGAAGGCCUUAGGGUUGUAAAGCUCUUCAGCUGGAAGAUAAUG